rnacentral:rRNA from 1 species
AUUAGCGGCCACAGCGAUAGGGAAACACCUGUUCUCAUUCCGAACACAGAAGUUAAGCCUGUCUGCGAUUUGGUCUUGCCCUGUUCUUUUGAACGGAGCUGCCUUGACGCUGCUAAUC